CAAGGCUUGACAUCCUCUUGAAAAGUGCAGAGAUGCAUUCCCUCUUCGGAGCAAGGGAGACAGGUGGUGCAUGGUUGUCGUCAGCUCGUGUCGUGAGAUGUUGGGUUAAGUCCCGCAACGGGCGCAACCCCUAUUAUUAGUUGCCAGCACUUCGGGUGGGCACUCUAAUGAGACUGCCGGUGAUAAACCGGAGGAAGGUGGGGAUGACGUCAAAUCAUCAUGCCCCUUAUGUCUUGGGCUACACACGUGCUACAAUGGUCGGUACAACGGGGUGCGAAGGAGCGAUCCGGAGCGAAUCCCAAGAAGCCGAUCUCAGUUCGGAUUGCAGGCUGCAACUCGCCUGCAUGAAGUUGGAGUUGCUAGUAAUCGCGAAUCAGAACGUCGCGGUGAAUGCGUUCCC
rnacentral:rRNA from 1 species